UACGGGGGGGAGCAAGCGUUGUUCGGAUUUACUGGGCGUAAAGGGCGCGUAGGCGGCCAGCACAAGUCAGUUGUGAAAUCUCCGAGCUUAACUCGGAACGGUCAACUGAUACUGUGCGGCUAGAGUGCAGAAGGGGCAACUGGAAUUCUUGGUGUAGCGGUGAAAUGCGUAGAUAUCAAGAGGAACACCUGCGGCGAAGGCGGCUCUCUGGGACGGUACUGACGCUGAGACGCGAAAGCGUGGGGAGCGAACAGG
rnacentral:rRNA from 1 species